GACGAACGCUGGCGGCGUGCUUAACACAUGCAAGUCGAACGGAAAGGCCCUGCUUUUGUGGGGUGCUCGAGUGGCGAACGGGUGAGUAACACGUGAGUAACCUGCCCUUGACUUUGGGAUAACUUCAGGAAACUGGGGCUAAUACCGGAUAGGAGCUCCUGUUGCAUGGUGGGGGUUGGAAAGUUUCGGCGGGUGGGGAUGGACUGGCGGCUUAUCAGCUUGUUGGUGGGGUAGUGGCUUACCAAGGCUUUGACGGGUAGCCGGCCUGAGAGGGUGACCGGCGACAUGGGGACUGAGAGAGGGACCAGACGCCAACGGGAGGCAGCAGUGGGGAAUAUUGCACAGUGGGAGGGAGCGGGAGGCAGAAACGCCGCGGGCGGGAUGACGGCCUGCGGGUUGUAAACCGCAUUCGCCUGUGACGAAGCGGGAGUGACGGUAAUGGGUAAAGAAGCACCGGCUAACUACGUG
rnacentral:rRNA from 1 species